rnacentral:rRNA from 1 species
UACGAAGGGGGGCUAGCGUUGCUCGGAAUUACUGGGCGUAAAGCGCACGUAGGCGGCUUUCUAAGUCAGGGGUGAAAUCCCGGGGCUCAACCUCGGAACUGCCUUUGAUACUGCAAAUCUCGAGUCCGGAAGAGGUGAGUGGAAUUCCUAGUGUAGAGGUGAAAUUCGUAGAUAUUAGGAAGAACACCAGUGGCGAAGGCGGCUCACUGGUCCGGUACUGACGCUGAGGUGCGAAAGCGUGGGGAGCAAACAGG